UAAGGAAUAUUGGUCAAUGGAGGGAACUCUGAACCAGCCAUGCCGCGUGCAGGAAGACGGCCCUCUGGGUUGUAAACUGCUUUUAUUCGGGAAUAAACCUAUUUACGUGUAAAUAGCUGAAUGUACCGAAGGAAUAAGGAUCGGCUAACUCCGUGCCAGCAGCCGCGGUAAUACGGAGGAUCCAAGCGUUAUCCGGAUUUAUUGGGUUUAAAGGGUGCGUAGGCGGCUUAUUAAGUCAGGGGUGAAAGACGGUAGCUCAACCAUCGCAGUGGCCAUGAUACUGAUGAGAUUGAAUGGACUAGAGAUAAGAAGAAUGUAACAAGAAGAGGUGAAAUGCAUAGAUAUGUCACAGAACACCGAAUGCGAAGGCAGCUUACUAUGGUUUAAUUGACGCUGAGGCACGAAAGCGUGGGGAUCAAACA
rnacentral:rRNA from 1 species